GUUUCAAUUGGACAGAAACUUGGAAUCAUGCAACUUGGUUGCACGAUGAAUGAGAAAUUUCAUAUUUGGAAAUUAGACUAAUUCAUUGACAAAGUGUCAAGUGAAGGACUAGGAGAUCGAGUACACAAAGUUGCGUGUUGAUCAAGUCCACCAUAAGAGUAACAAAGAUAUUCGUCAUGAUUUACUAAAGGUUUAGUAAAUAUGAUUAUACUUACAAGAUUAAGUGUAAUUCUGAAUUGAUUGAAAAAGUUUAAAUCAAUAGCAGAACGAAUAAGAAGAAUCAAGUAGGCAGAAAGAUAAAAGUUUCUCCAUUCUAAGAAGAAGGGAGAGUACCUUUUAUGCUUUAUGAUAGGUCUUAAUGAUUAAGAACCAUAUCUCAAUUGAUCCUCUAAGUGAGUCUUAGUACAAUUGUAUGUCUAAGAAGAGGAAUCAAGAAUUGAAGAAAUGGUUAAAUCAAGAAGUCAAUCAUACUUCGUUCCAAAACAAGUCUUAGAGUUAAGAUUGUGACAUUGAGUGAUAAGUAUUAAGAAGGUUUAUAACAUUCAUCAAAUGUGGAAAGUUGUGAUGUCUUGGAUAAGACAAAGACCAACUAGGACCAAUUUAUGAAGUGUUUUGAUAAAAACUACACUAACUCUUGAAUAUUUGUUUGUCAAGAAAUGUUUAUUGACAAGAGAAUCUUAUAUGUCAAGGAGUCAGUGGGAGUCUUAAUGGUCUUGAAAGGUUUCAAGAACAAAUCAAAAUAAACCUUAUCGAUCAUCACUAGCACACGAGUUGAGGUUUACAACCUAUCGUGUUGACAUUAUUUUGUUUCUGUGCCAAUCCAAUCGAGUUAAUUAUGCAUGUGAGUUCUAUGAGUUCUCAUUUGGAACGCAUAAAAGGCAAAGCACCUUAAUCAAUGAAAGGUACAUUGAUAGGAAAGGGUGAGCUGCUUAACUACUUGGAAGACAUGGUGGGCAGCUGUGCUACCAUAAGGCAAGAAAUCAAGAUUAAGAAAGUUCGGUCCAUAUGAGUUUGAAUUUGUCGUAAACUUUGGUUUUAACAAAUUCACAUGGAUAGGAACACAUACACCGUUUAAAUCUAAGUGUCAUAAGAUUUCCUCCUUCAUGAAAAUGAUUGUGAGGAAAUGCUUUCACUAAGAAAGAUUUUAAGAAGAUAGUGAUUGUAAAAUUGCAUUCUCGAAUUCGAUUAUGGUUACGGUAUCCCUUUCCAUAAUUUGAAUUGUGAGGUUUGGCAAUUAGUCUUAAUUGUUUAGACACACAUAUGAACUAUCGAAGGCAAAGGUGUAUAAGUUCAAGAAGCCUUGAUAAAAGAUUAUCAAAGCACUAAGUAUUAGAAACAUGAACUUAAGAAAUUCAAUAAGUAUUGUUUUUCUGAAAGUUAAGAUGUUUAUGAAUACAUGUCGAAGCUAGUGGGAGCAUAAGUGUUAUGUUUUAUAAUAAUCAUCAUGAUAGUGGGAGCAUAAAUGUUAUGAUUGUAUGAUUAUUAAGGCACGUAUUGCAAGUUGGCAAUAUUAAUUAUAGAAAACAAGAGUUAUACCUUGCAAAGUCGUAAGGGUUGUAAAGUUGUUUUGCUAUAAUUAAGGGAGAGAAUAUUAUGCUUCAUUUCAAAUCUAAAGGAUUAGGUUGAGAAAUGUUAAUAAAUUUAGUCAAAGGUACAUAGUGUGUUCUUAAAAUUUCGAUUAUGAUUACGGCAUUCCUCUUCACAAUUCGAAUUUUGAGAACAUAGCAAAUAAAACAUUAUGCGUCGUGUCCCAUACGCUUCGGGUAUAGGAUCGAUUGCAAAUGCUUUAAUGUUUGACCAUUCUAAAAUUUUCCAAAUGUCGAGCGCAUUUAGAGGGAAAAGGGACUAGAAUUGGUUUUGACUAAAAUAAUUAAACAACUAUCAAAGGACAAUCCAAAGUUCGACGAGGAUUGGUCGCUUGUGAGUAGUUGGAAGUAUAGUAUUGGAAAAUAUGGAAAUGUUUCCAUAUUGGAUGGACCAUAUCGACAUCAUUACGAAUAGAUAAGAUUCUAUUAAGAAUGAGUUGUCAUAUGGAACAUAUGGAAGUGUGUCCAUAUUGGGAAUUGAAUAUUGAGAAAUCUAUGACUAGAUUAGAAACUUCUAUGCAAAAGGAUGUUCAAAGAAUGUACUUUGAGUGAGAGACAUCACGUCUAUGGAAUUGUCUUGUAACAAUCUCCGAUAGAGGACUUUGUAAUAUCAUUGGCAAUAGUCUUUGUGACUUUGGUGCAGUGACAUUACGAAAGGAUAGUUGCAUAGAAUGUUAGAAUCUAGCAUAUUCUAUAAGUAGCAAGAAUUUGAUAUUCUUUCACUUAUGAAAAAGGAUUUGGAGUUGUGAAAUGAGAAUGAUUGGAAAUGUGUUCAAUGUGAUCUAUUUCACAAAGUAAGAACCAUAGGUAAACAUUGUGUGCAUGCUAGGAGCAUGGGACAAGUGUUGUAAUUCAAGUAAGAAGUUGAUUACCCGAAACGACAAAUAAUGAGUAAUCAAUAUGGUGAUAAAUAAAAGGUGUUUUAUUUAUACUCAAAGGUUUGAGGCCAUAUGGGAUUAGUAUUAUUCUUGUGUUUCACAUUUGCAUGUUUUGACUUCCAGAAUAAUUGAGUUUAUUAAGAAUAAUCGAAUUAUUCAAACGGGCCACAGUCGUUCAUAUGUUGGAAGUAGAUAUGAAUGAAGACUGUCGUGAAUUGGUGUGUGGAUUGUCUAAAAGAGUAUUAGACAUAAGCAAAUGUUUGCUGCAACGUUCAUGAGUGCUUAUGAAUAUGAUUUGAGCAUUGGAUUAAACCCACGCUCACUUGGAUCACUCCAUGAAUUGUAUCACGAGUGAUUGGUGAGACGAUAACAUCUUAUAUUCUUGAAACCGAGAUGUGUGAGUUGUAUCUUGCAAAUCGGUUGCACAUUGAUAAUAUGUAAACGCACUAGUAACUUGGUGUUAUAAAACAUAUUGUUGUGUGUGAUUCGGUGAGUGAGUGCAAGCAAGCAUUGUAUCAAAGUUUAUCCGUUCCUUUUAUCCAAAGUAGGAUAAAAGCGAUAUCUUUGGGCCCCUCGAUGAUUUAGUGAUGACAAACGUAAAUGCUCGGCCGGGCUAGGGCUAAUUUGAUUUGUUCAAUUAGUCAGUCGUCAUAAAUCGGAAAUCGAGAUAUAGUACAAAGAGAAUGAUUUGAAAUCAUAUCUCAUAUGAUAUCUAGAAUGGAGGAAUAUAUGAUCCCUUAUCUAAGGACACGCGUAUCUGAUAUGAUCAGAGUUGACAGCGGCUUUGGAAAGCUACGAUUGCAGAUCGGGAUCCGAAGUCAUACGCAGAAUAGUUGUUAGACUUAUCCAAGUGGGAGACUGUUGGAUUAGUGUCUAAGUCCAUAACUAUUUUGGUAUGUACUUGACCCGAUGGUGCAUGGUCCUUUUGGGUUGCCUUCACCAAAGCAACUUGAUUGGAGAAAUAAAUAGAGAGAGAGGUUAUUAUGAUUUAUUAAUAUGUUAUAAGAAUAAUAUAUUAAAGGAGAAAUCAUAUUUGUUUAAUUAAUAUUGGUCAAUAAUUAAUUAAGAAUUAAUUUUGUGAUCAAGUGUAAUUAAUUAAACUAGAGGGGCUGAAUUGUAAUUAUGUGAUAGUUACAAAAUAAGGUAAGGAUUAUCUUAUAUAUAUGGUGAACGAAUUUGAGGUGUAAAUCCCUUAGAAUUCGACUAGGAUAAGGAUUUCUAGGACUUAUCUUAUGGUUGCUUGGUGGACAAGCAACUAGAUAAGGAUAAGGACUAAAACCCUAAUCUUUACACCUAUAUAAACCCCCUAAGGCUUAGGAAUUCGUCUAACCCUUCCCAAGAGGUCCUAAGGACGAAUUCUAACCUCCCUCCUCUCUCUUUAUACCUUCUCCACUUGCUUAUGGUGUUUGUAAGCCAUUAGAGGAGUGACACUUGUGACUCUCAGCUUUCCAAGGUCAAUUCAAGGAGGAAUUGGAUUGUUAUUGCUAUAUAACAAUCAAGGUAUGUUCUUAAACCUAAUUACAUGUGAAUUCUGAUUUCCAUAUGCUAGAAUUAGGGUUCAAAGUCUUGGAUUCAAAGUAUGUACAAUAGAGAAACCUAGAUCCAAGCUUUAGGGUUUGUAUGAGCACAUAGGAUGUCUUAUGACCAAAACCCAUCAGUGGUAUCAGAGCCAUGAUUGGUUUCUAUUGUAUUGAUGCUUGAUGUAACUGAAAAUCGUGUUUUGGCCUCACUGUUCGACCUGACUCGGCGAGUCAGUCCUACUCGGCGAGUUCCAGAGGGUGACUCGGCGAGUCGGUGCGUCAGAUAGUGCUUAUCUCGGGAUUUCUUGCUGUUUUUGCAUUGGGAUAAUUACCUUAUCAUGUUAGAUUAAUAUUAAUCCGAUUAUAUGAUAUAUUUGACUAUAUUUUUAAUCUAAUUGAAGAUAUUUAUCAAUUAAUAAGAUAAUUGUUUCCUUAUAAGAUAAUUGAUUAAUUAUUUUAAGUAAAUUGAUAAAUUAUUUUGCAAGAAAUCAUCAAAUAUGGAUAAUUAUGUGAUUAAAUGUUAAUUUGAAUUAUUUGUUAUUUGAUCCUUGUUGUUGUGAAAAGUUUCAUAUUUGGCCCUUUAGGUUUUAUAGUUUAAAUUUGAACCCCAAAAGUUUUGUUGUUUUGAAAUUUAAAUAGUUGAAACCCUAAUGUUUUGAAAAAGGUUUCAAAACUUGCCCUCAAGUUUUGGAAUUUAAAUUUUGAUUAAAUAGUUUAAUUUUGAUGCAUAUUUAAAUUCUAAACCCUAAUGUGUUGAAAUGUUUCAAAACUUGCCCUCAAGUUUUGGAAUUUAAAAGUUGAUUAAAAGUUUAAUUAGGAAUGUUAAAUUCUAAAACUCUAGUAUAGUUUUGAAAAAGUUCAAAUCACACCCUUAUGGUUUUAUUAAUUAAUUAAGGUGUAUAAUUAAAAGAGGUUUAAUAAAUCCAUAAAAGUUUAGGUUUACAAUUUAAUUGAAUUAAAAGUAUAAUUGUUAAAUUAGACCACCUAGUAUUUUAAAAGUAUAAAAUACACCCUAUACUAUAUAUAACAUUAAAAGUCUAACAUUAUAUAUAUGUAUGAGUAAAAGUCAGUCUUACCGUUAGUAGGCCUCAUUCACGAAGCUGGUCUAUAAGGGGUGUUUAAGGAAAUUGCCUAUAAAAUGGCGAUUGAAUGGGUAUCCACUCUUACCCACCGCACUCUUGACUAGUGGAGGGUCGUUAGCCGAACGGGUAGGAUAGGACGAAACCUUCCAUUAUAAGUAUAAUGAAUUAUUAAAGUAACUAAAUGUUUUCAUAAAAUUCCCAAUCUUAGUUACUUAGGCAAAAGUGAAUUGAUGCAAUUCCAUGAAAUUACACUUUGUGCCCUUGCGAAGACGUUAGUGGAGCGUGUGUGGUUAACCGGCACACUAAAUGGGUCUAAGCAAAGGUAGCAAAGGGUGACUCAAUGUUUGUCAUAGUUCGGUGGAGCGUGUGUGGUUUACCGGCACAUCGAAUAGGUGACUGUAACAUGUGAGGGCACCAUGUAAGUUUGCAUGGUUAUUCACACCCGCUUUGUGAUCCUCGGCAUCCCAGUCACAAACAAGAGGGGCAUAUCGAGAUUUAAACAUGCCAUUGAAAGUUCAAUGAAUCUCAAAGGAUCUAGGAGUUUUCAUAGAUUUAAAACUUAAAUUUCUUUUUCGUUUUUCAUGGUGGAAAUUAGUGAAUCGUCAUUCACUUACCUUCAAAUAUUCUGCAAUUAGGGUUACGGCAUCCCUCUCCCGAGUUGUAGAAUAUUGUGUUGGGUCCUAGCCUUAGUAUCUCAUUUGGGUGAUUUACUAAGGACUCAAUCAAUCAACUAACUUGAAUUCGUUUUCUCCCGUUUUGUAGAUGUCAAAGUUCGACAACUAUGGUCUUCCCAAAUCCCGUGGAACAAGCAUUCCACAUGAAGAUGAUAUUCCACGAUUCGAUCGAGGAACAAGAAAUCAUGCUUCACUUCCUCCUCCUCCUCCAAUUAUUCUCCCUAACCCACAAGUUCAAAGGCUUGAAAAGUUCAAGAUCACUCAAGCCCUUUUGGCAAGUAAACAUAAAGAAGGAAAGUCGGUGUGUGCACACGUCCUAGGGAUGAAGUCACACAUUGAUAGGUUAAGAAUGUUGGGAUCCGUUGUCUGUGAGGAAAUGGCUGUUGAUUGGGUUCUUCAGUCACUUCCUAACUCAUAUAGUGAGUUCGUAAGAGAGUACUAUAUGAUGAACCGCGACGUGACCCUUAUAGAUCUCACCUAUAUGCUUAUUGCUGCUGAAUCAGCAAUGGUUUGGCGCAAUAGAAAAGCAAAGUUGAUUGGUGAAUCUGCCUUCAAGACCUCUAUGGAUAUAGACAAUGGCAACGAAAGACAUGCUAUGAUCGAAAAGUUUGAUCAUAAGAGAAAGGCAAUGUCUGAAGUAGUUCCAUGUCAUGUUCCAAAAGAGUCAAUUUGCUUUUAUUGCCAAGAGAAAGGGCAUUGGAGACGAAGCUGCCCCAUUUACCUAAGAGAUCUAAGAGAUGGGAGAGUCGAAACGUAUGGCUCUAAUAUAGGUAAAAUCCAUUAACUAACUCUUUUAAGCUUCUAUUCUAGAUUCUUAAUACAUAAUGUGAUAAGAUUACAAUUGAUGUUUUGUAGGAUCGAAGAAAAGAAAGGAAGCUUAAGGGAAGAAGUGAGCAGAAUCUAACCGUGAAGGAAUGGAUUUCGAUCGCAUUUCUCGAAGAUUAGAUUCUUGAGCUACUACUUAGAGUUAGAAUUAGAUUGCUAAGAAAGAUGUAUUAGCAUAGUUUUUCAAUGAAUUGCAUUGUAAGGACAAAUUUUUCCGCAAUAAAAUAAAUUUUGAUUUUAUAUUAUUUAUUUAUCCUUGCAAUGGCGUGUAUGAAAAAAUUGAUGUUAGAAUGUUUCUAUUAUUAGCAAUAAUGGAUUUGUUUCUUAAUUAUGUUAUUUGUGGAAAUGUCGAAAAUUUACCAAAUAGGGAAAGUUUCUCAUCGCCCAAGUUUCAAUUGGACAGAAACUUAGAAUCAUGCAACUUGGUUGCACGAUGAAUGAGAAAUUUCAUAUUUGGAAAUUAGACUAAUUCAUUGACAAAGUGUCAAGUGAAGGACUAGCAGAUCGAGUACACAAAGUUGCGUGUUGAUCAAGUCCACCAUAAGAGUAACAAAGAUAUUCGUCAUGAUUUACUAAAGGUUUAGUAAAUAUGAUUAUACUUAUAAGAUUAAGUGUAAUUCUGAAUUGAUUGAAAAAGUUUAAAUCAAUAGCAGAACGAAUAAGAAGAAUCAAGUAGGCAGAAAUAUAAAAGUUUCUCCAUUCUAAGAAGAAGUGAGAGUACAUUUUAUGCUUUAUGAUAGGUCUUAAUGAUUAAGAACCGUAUCUCAAUUGAUCCUCUAAGUGAGUCUUAAUACAAUUGUAUGUCUAAGAAGAGGAAUCAAGAAUUGAAGAAAUGGUUAAAUCAAGAAGUCAAUCAUACUUCGUUCCAAAACAAGUCUUAGAGUUAAGAUUGUGACAUUGAGUGAUAAGUAUUAAGAAGGUUUAUAACAUUCAUCAAAUGUGGAAAGUUGUGAUAAAAGCUACACUAACUCUUGAAUAUUUGUCAAGAAAUGUUAUUCACAAGAGAAUCUUAUAUGUCGAAGAGUCAGUGGGAGUCUUAAUGGUCUUGAAAGGUUUCAAGAACAAAUCAAAAUAGACCUUAUCGAUCAUCACUAGCACACGAGUUGAGGUUCACAACCUAUCGUGUUUCUGUGCCGUUCCAAUUGAUUUAAUUAUGCAUAUGAGUUCUAAUUUGAAUGCACAAAAGGCAAACACCAUGAUCAAUGAAAAGUACAUUGAUAGGAAAAGGUGAGCUGCUUGACUACUUGGAAGACAUGGUGGGCAGCCGUGCUACCAUAAGGCAAGAAAUCAAGAUUAA
rnacentral:lncRNA from 1 species